rnacentral:rRNA from 1 species
UCUGAUGCAGCACGCCGCGUGGAGGAUGACGCAUUUCGGUGUGUAAACUCCUUUUAUAAGGGAAGAUAAUGACGGUACCUUAUGAAUAAGCACCGGCUAACUCCGUGCCAGCAGCCGCGGUAAUACGGAGGGUGCAAGCGUUACUCGGAAUCACUGGGCGUAAAGGAUGCGUAGGCUGGAAAUCAAGUCGAGAGUGAAAUCCAACGGCUCAACCGUUGAACUGCUCUCGAAACUGGUUACCUAGAAUAUGGGAGAGGUAGAUGGAAUUGGUGGUGUAGGGGUAAAAUCCGUAGAUAUCACCAGGAAUACCGAUUGCGAAGGCGAUCUACUGGAACAUUAUUGACGCUGAGGCAUGAAAGCGUGGGGAGCAAACAGGAUUAGAUACCCUGGUAGUCCACGCCCUAAACGAUGCACACUAGUUGUUGCGAUGCUAGUCAUUGCAGUAAUGCACUUAACAGAUUAAGUGUGCCGCCUGGGGAGUACGGUCGCAAGAUUAAAACUCAAAGGAAUAGACGGGGACCCGCACAAGCGGUGGAGCAUGUGGUUUAAUUCGAAGAUACACGAAGAACCUUACCUGGCCUUGAUAUCCUAAGAAUCCUUUAGAGAUAAGGGAGUGCUAGUUUACUAGAACUUAGAGACAGGUGCUGCACGGCUGUCGUCAGCUCGUGUCGUGAGAUGUUGGGUUAAGUCCCGCAACGAGCGCAACCCUCGUGAUUAGUUGCUAACAGUUCGGCUGAGCACUCUAAUCAGACUGCCUUCGCAAGGAGGAGGAAGGUGAGGACGACGUCAAGUCAUCAUGGCCCUUAUGGCCAGGGCUACACACGUGCUACAAUGGCUAGGACAAAGAGACGCGAUACUGCGAAGUGGAGCAAAUCUUAAAACCUAGUCUCAGUUCGGAUUGGAGUCUGCAACUCGACUCCAUGAAGCUGGAAUCGCUAGUAAUCGUAGAUCAGAUAUGCUACGGUGAAUACGUUCCCGGGUCUUGUACUCACGCCCGUCACACCAUGGGAGUUGAUUCACCCGAAGCCGGAUACUAAACUAGUACGACACGUGGGUCAGCGACUGGGGU